rnacentral:rRNA from 1 species
GACGAACGCUGGCGGCGUGCUUAACACAUGCAAGUCGAACGGAAAGGCCCUGCUUGCAGGGUGCUCGAGUGGCGAACGGGUGAGUAACACGUGGGUGAUCUGCCCCUUACUUUGGGAUAAGCCUGGGAAACUGGGUCUAAUACUGGAUAGGACCAUGCUGUAGGUGGUGUGGUGGAAAGAUUAGUUUCGGUAAGGGAUGAGCUCGCGGCCUAUCAGCUUGUUGGUGGGGUAAUGGCCUACCAAGGCGUCGACGGGUAGCCGGCCUGAGAGGGUGGAAGGCCACAUUGGGACUGAGAGACGGCCCAGACUCCUACGGGAGGCAGCAGUGGGGAAUAUGGGACAAUGGGCGCAAGCCUGAUGCAGCGACGCCGCGUGGGGGAUGACGGCCUUCGGGUUGUAAACUCCUUUCAGCCAUGACGAAGCCCUGGUGGUGACGGUAGUGGUAGAAGAAGCACCGGCUAACUACGUG